CCCUUUAUAUAAAUUUUGGCCGGCGGCACUUUGUUGUUGUUCUGAAUUGAUACCCUCACAUUAUCCACUCGUAGUUAUUGUUGAUCUUUUUUGUGUUUCUGCCUUAAAUAUUUCUAUAAUAUAUGAUAAAAUAGUAUAUCUGAACAAAUCUGUUAAAAAGUGGAAUUUUCUGUGCAUUAUUAGUCUGUAAAUGGUUUUGUUCCCAUUAUUCUUUCAUAAAAUAUGACUAAAGCUAACAAUAGCAAGAAUCUUGGUUUACUAUGUACAAUGUUUCAUGUUUCUCAUUUGCCACUGUGCUCUGUCUGAAUUUUGGACCAAGAACAGUCAAAGAAAAAGGUUCAAUGAGGAGAGAGAAAAUUGGGGAAUGACAUUUAUUUUUUUGAAAGAUAUAAAGCCGUUGCAAGCUGCUGGACCAGAAUGUUGACUGCUCAUGGAUUGUGUUGUAUUGCAUGCUUGAAUAUGUCAAUGAGUACUGAUUGCCUAAAACAGAUUAUAAAUUUAUAGAUUAUUCUGAGUACAUGUUUAUUCUUUACAUUACAGAAGAGUGAGUUGUUAUCGUGGCUUCACCUCUCUUGAUUAAAAAGAUGUAGAGAGAGAUGCAAAAUUCUAAAGGCAACAAGACAUGUAGAAAUGGAAGCACUUGACGUUCUUUUUGAAUAGUGGCGGAGGACUAGAUUUUCAUCUGCAGAAGUUGCAGAGAGUAAUGGAAAUUCUGGAUCAAAGUGUUUCAAAUGUUGUGGAGGUAUAAUGGCAUCAGAAGCGAUUUCUCUUCUUCAAGAUUUUUAUGAAUGAGGAAACCCAGAUGCUCCAAAGCCUCACAAGUCUCAUGUUACUCAAGCUUCUCAUUAGAUCUGCAUGCAUUGAUUCUUCCUGUUGAAUCCUCUCAUGGCUUUGCAUGACUAGAAUUUCAUCAAGGGACCCACGAAAGGAAGCGUGAUACUUGUCCGGAUCAAUUUUUGCCCGGAUGUUCAUGUGCUUACUGAGGGUUGCAGCUGUGAUCAGAAGUCCAUUUCAUGCUUUAACUUGAUAAUCAGAUUGUUAAGAUAAUUUACGGCAUAAACUGUGUAGGCAUCACUUUUCUGAUGCUAAUUUUUGUCAUCAACAUAUCCAAUAAUCGAGCUUAUUUUUUGUUCUA